CUGUCACGCCACAAGACCUUUCAACUUGUCAACGUGUGGCACUUGUGAGGUGAUUAUCUCCAAAACCAACACAAGUAAGCCUUUUCAACAAACCCACAAACAAUGGACGAAUUUGGGACAAUCACACUUGCAAAGAAGAAGAGAUUUUCUGAAGGAGAAAGUGUAUUUCACUAUAGUGGCUGUACAGAUUACAAGAAUUCUCUUAAGGCUAAUAAUCUCUAAUAAUCUGCUUCUCUAUUCACAAUCUCGCGGGACUCCUAUUUAUAGGCUAAGAUAAGACAGCAUUUAAUGCUUCUUGGAGACUCCCCUGCCAAUUAUGGCAUGUUGGUUCAACUCCCUUCGGGUCUAGAUUCUUCCCCCUCAGGCAUGUUGGUUCAACUUCCUUUGAGUCUAGAUUCUUCCCCCUGGCAGAAUUUCUAUGGAGCGAAAUUUGGAGGGUGACAAUCUCCCCCACCAAAGUCCUUGACGCCCUCGUCAAGCUUCCUUUGCUUUGUAGGCAUCGAUCUUCUGCUUGAACUGCCACAAUUCAGCCUCCUUCUCCCAACUCAUUUCAGUUUCUGGUAGUCCUCUCCAUUUGAUCAGAAAUUCGGUGUAAUUUGGAAUCCCUCGUCGCCUAAUUACCCGAUCUGCCAGUAUUUCCUCUACUUCACUAUCAAACGAGGUUAUCAUUGUUGGUGGUGCUCUAUGUGAUUGACCCCUGCUUGGAUCCUCCUGGUCUCCAUGGUAAGGUUUAAGGGAACUUACAUGAAAAACUGGAUGAAUCUUCAGCUGUGGCGGCAACUCGACUUGAUAGGACACAUUCCCCACCUUUUUUGUGAUGGAAAAAGGCCCUUCAUACUUCCUCACCAACCCCUUGUGAACCUGUCUAUAAACCUUGAAUUGCUGGGGUGGCAACUUCACCAUGACAAGAUCACCAAUCUGGAACUCCAACGGUCUCCUCUUCUUGUCAGCCCAUUUUUUCAUUUUCUUGGCAGCCUUGUCAAGAUGUACCUUAGCGAUGUCAAGUUGUUCCCGCCAACCUUUAGCCCAUUUAUAAGCUAAAGGACUUACCCCGGUGUAGCCCGAAGCAAUGGCAUUGGGAGUCAAUGGCUGCUGCCCAGUAGCUAGUUCAAAUGCACUUUGUUGUGUGGACUCACUCCUUUGUAGGUUAUAGGAGAACUGAGCAACGUCCAGCAACUUUACCCAAUUCUUCUGAUUGGCACUCACAAAGUGCCUCAAAUAGAGCUCCAGCAACGCAUUUACCCGUUCAGUUUGCCCAUCCGUCUGUGGAUGAAAGGAGGUUGAAAAAUGCAGAUCUGAACCCAUCAUCUUAAACAGCUCCCGCCAGAAUUUCCCUAUGAACCGUGGGUCUCGGUCACUGAUGAUGCUUCUAGGAAGGCCCCAAUACUUCACUACAUGCUUGAAGAACAAGCGGGCUGCCUCAUCAGCUGUACAGUCUCGUGGGGCUGGAAUGAAAGUUCCAUAUUUGGAUAGCUUGUCUACGAUCACAAUGAUGGAGCCGCACCCCUCAGACUUUGGCAAAGCUGAGAUGAAGUCCAUUGUGACACAUUCCCAUGGUCUCUCCGGAAUAGGAAGGGGCUCCAGCAAACCCGCAGGCUGUCUUUGCUCGAUCUUGUCCUGUUGGCACACCAAACAGGUCCUCACGUAUCCUUCUAUGUCAUCUUCCAUCCUAGGCCAGUAGUAUGAUCUCUCUAGUAAGGCUAGAGUCAGCUGCAUGCCAGGAUGGCCAGCCCACAGGGAGUCGUGACACUCCUUCAUUAGCUCCUUCCGAAGAUUUCCCCAUCGAGGAAUGAAAACUCGAUUCCCAACAGUAUAGAUUAGCCCAUCAUGUUCCCAAAAUCUUCUGGUUUUUCCUUCCUUAGCCAAAAUAAGAAGGUGUUUGGCAAAAGCAUCAUGGGACAUACCUUCUCUUAUGCGUUCCAGCAGGCUGCUCUCCAUGCUGCUUAUUGAGGAAAAUUCUGCCUUUCGACUUAGUGCAUCAGCCACUACGUUGGCCUUACCAGGUUUAUACUCCAAGGUGUAAUCAAAUUCUGCCAAGAAGUCCUGCCACCUUGCUUGCUUGGGGGUCAGCUUCUUCUGCUUCUGGAAGUAGCUGGUUGCAACAUUGUCGGUCAGGAUCAUGAACCGACUUCCCAGCAAGUAGUGUCUCCACACCCUUAGGCAGUGUAUGAUGGCAGUCAUCUCCUUGUCAUGCACCGGAUAUCGCCUUUCAGUCUCAUUCAGCUUGCGACUUUCAAAGGCAAUGGGAUGUCUUUCCUGCAUCAACACCCCACCAAUAGCAAAAUCAGAUGCAUCAGUUUGUACCUCAAAUGGCUUGGAGUAAUCUGGCAGUGCCAACACAGGCUCCUCCGAAACAGCAUGCUUGAGCUCAUCAAAUGCCUUUUGACGUUUCUCAUCCCAGUCCCACGGGAUGUUCUUCUUCAGUAAGUCAGUCAAGGGGGCCGCCCUCUUAGAAUACCCUUGAAUGAAUCUGCGGUAGUAGUUCACCAACCCAAGGAAUGACCGCAACCUAGACACGGUCGUUGGUGGUUCCCACUCCAUGAUUGCCUUUACUUUGGACGAGUCCAUGCUGAUCUGGCCACUAGCAAUCUUGUGCCCCAGAAACAUCACUUCUGGUUGUGCAAAUGAACAUUUUUCUGGUUUUACAUACAGUUCAUUUUCGCGCAGGAUUUGGAACACAAGCUUAAGAUGCUGAACAUGGUCUUCUAAAGACUCACUAUAGACAACCAUAUCGUCCAAGUAGACUACUACAAACUUAUCCAUAUAUGGGUGGAAUAUUUUGUUCAUCAAUGUACAGAAAGUGGCUGGAGCGUUGGUUAGGCCAAACGGCAUUACAAGAAAUUCAUAAGAACCGUACCUUGUAACGCAAGUGGUCUUCUCCUCAUCUCCUUCGGCAAUCCGUACUUGCCAAUAUCCAAAACGCAAGUCCAGCUUAGAGAACUACUGAGCUUUCCCUAAUUUGUCAAACAAAUCAUCCACCAAUGGUAUGGGAUACUUGUUUUUUAUUGUUACCUUGUUUAAGGCUCGGUAAUCAAUGCACAUGUGCAAGCUCCCAUCAUGCUUCUUUUGAAAUAGUAUCGGGGCACCAUAGGGUGCCUUUGAUGGCCGAACGUACCCCGCAUCCAGUAGCUCCUUCAGUUGUUUCUUCAAUUCAUCAAGCUCCGGGGGUGCCAUUCGAUAAGGGACCAUGGCAGGAGGCUUAGCACCAGGCUCUAGUUCAAUUGCAUGGUCCACUCCUCUCCUUGGUGGUAACUUUUUGGGCAGCUCAGGUGGCAUUACAUCCAUAAACUCAUCCAGAAUUGCCACGAUUUCAUUAGGGACAGAAAGUGAAUUGGAAACCACACCUUCAUCUUUGCAAGUCACAAGGUAUGUCUCCUCUCCUCUCUUCACUCCUUUUGAAACUUGCAUUGCCGACAGGAUUCUUGCACCAACAGCAACUUUGUAGUCCAUGCCACCACUUUUGAAUUGAAUACACCCAUCUUCAAUAAAGGACAGAGGCAGUACUCUCUCCAUGAAAUCCAGUCCAAUCACCAUGUUGUAGUCCUUUAGUUCGACCACGUUCAGAUUGAUAGUCCCACGCCAAGAGCCAAUCUCUAUGGGAACACCAUGUGCUACACCUAGCAAUGGUUUGGCUGGCUGAUCCACAGCUCUCAUCCAGCCUAUUUCCUUGGACAACUUCAACCCCAUUUGGGCAGCCACAUCGCUGGACACCAAGUUUUGAUUGGCGCCACUGUCCAGCAGUGCCUUGGUGUCAAAUCCAUUCACCUUGGCAGCAAUAUACAUAAGAGCCUUACCUGGUUGAGGCUUCAACCCAACAACAGCCUUGGCAACACUUCCAGCAACCUUAUUGUUUGCCUUGGCCUGCACAGAAUUUAUAAUGUGCAGUGAACCCAAUUGUGCAUUCUCCCCCUGUGCUGGUUGCUGCAAAGCAUCAUAACUCGCAGCUAUGGCAUUCAUUUUUGCACGAUUGGGGCAGUCUCGCAUAAGGUGAGGUCCAUCACAGAAGAAACAGUUACGUUUGGGCUUGAACGGUUCCUUGCUGGACUCACCUUGCUGCUGCUUCCCCUUCCAGCCGUGGGUGGAUUUGGCAGACUUCUCACCCUUGUAGGAUUUGGUUGCCCCAGGUUUGUCAUUGUGGAACUUCUUCUUCCCCUUAUCAUUCUUUGAGGAUUCUUUGGAAAAUUCCAUUAAAGAUUCUGCCACAGCAAUGGCAGAAGACAAAUCCUGGACUCCCCGACGCUUUAAUUCCUGUUCAGCCCAUCUUUGCAACCCAUCCAGAAAGUACAGCAGCUUUACAUCCUCAGGCAGUUGUGGGGCUUCCAACAUCAAGGAGGAGUACUCCCGAAUAUACUCCUUAAUCGACCAUGUUUGCUUCAGAUUUCGAAGCUUCUUCAUGGCCAACUCCUUAGCAUUUUCAGGGUAGAAUUGCCUCUUGAACUCUCCCUUGAAUGCCUCCCACGUUUCUAAGGCAGCGUGCCCUCUUUCUAUUUCAACACAUCGAUAUCUCCACCAAAGUGCAGCAUCGUGCUCAAAAUAAAGGGUGCAGGUAUCAAUCUUUGCAGCAUCAUUGUCCAGAUGGAUAGCACCGAAAUACUUCUCCAUAUGCCAAAUGAAAUUAUCAAAUUCUUUAGCAUCACGCUUACCUCCAUAUUUCGGUGGUUCGGGGACCUUGAUUUUGGUGGCAGCAGCAAUAGCUGGGACACCAGUUGAGAAGGCAGCCUUGCACAGAUUAAUAUCCCCCCUGGCUUCUCUCAAUUCAUCACGCAGGGACAGUACCUCAGCUUGCACAGUGCUCCUGAAUUCUUCCAUUGAAUUGUUAACAGAUUCCAUGAAUACAUUGAGAGCACCUUGUAGAGCUCCCUCAAGCUCCAUCUUCAAUUCUGCCUGCUCCUCAUCCCUAGAGUCAAGCGUUUCCAGAAUAUCAGCCACAGCCAAUUCAACCUUGACAAGCCUUCCCUCAAAGGCAUCAGUGAGAUUCGAAGGGACAAUAACACCCUUUGCUACUUCCUUCGACUUCCCUCUCUUCUUAGGCUGAACACGGAUCCUCACGUCCUCUCUCUUCAAUUAAGUUGGUGGGAUUGCUAGCUUCUGCGUCCUUGCUGGUCAUGGUUACAAUUCUCCCAACCGAAUGCAACCGAGGCUCUGAUACCACGUGUCACGCCACAAGACCUUUCAACUUGUCAACGUGCGGCACUUGUGAGGUGAUUCUCCCCAAAACCAACACAAGUAAGCCUUUUCAACAAACCCACAAACAAUGGACGAAUUUGGGACAAUCACACUUGCAAAGAAGAAGAGAUUUUCUGAAGGAGAAAGUGUAUUUCACUAUAGUGGCUGUACAGAUUACAAGAAUUCUCUUAAGGCUAAUAAUCUCUAAUAAUCUGCUUCUCUAUUCACAAUCUCGCGGGACUCCUAUUUAUAGGCUAAGAUAAGACAACAUUUAAUGCUUCUUGGAGACUCCCCUGCCAAUUAUGGCAUGUUGGUUCAACUCC
rnacentral:lncRNA from 1 species